UGGUAGUGUAUUGGACAACCAGUGGUAGUGUAUUGGACAACCAUGGCUCUCACGGGUAACGGGGAAUUAGGGUUCGAUUCCGGAGAAGGAGCCUGAGAAACGGCUACUACGUCUAAGGAUGGCAGCAGGCGCGUAAAUUACCCAAUCCUGACUCAGGGAGGUAGUGACAAGAUAUAACAACGCGACUAAAAAUCGCGAUUGUAGUGAGGGUUUUCCAAACCGAACCACUAGUACGAUUGGAGGGCAAGUCUGGUGCCAGCAGCCGCGGUAAUUCCAGCUCCAAUAGCGUAUAUUAAAGUUGUUGCAGUUAAAAAGCUCGUAGUUGGAUUUCAAGGGACGCAUGUGGAAACACGUUGCUCCCUACCAGUCUUAGACUGUUACUGUGAGAAAAUUAGAGUGUUUCAAGCAGGCUAUCGCAGGAAUACAUUAGCAUGGAAUAACGAGUGAGUCUAGAAUCUUGGUUAAUUCUAGAUUACGAUUAAUAGGGACAGUUGGGGGCAUUAGUAUUUAAUUGUCAGAGGUGAAAUUCUUGGAUUUGUUAAAGACUAACGUAUGCGAAAGCAUUUGCCAAGGAUGUUUU
rnacentral:rRNA from 1 species